rnacentral:rRNA from 1 species
GUAGGUGGCAAGCGUUGUCCGGAAUUAUUGGGCGUAAAGCGCGCGCAGGGCGGUCCUUUAAGUCUGAUGUGAAAGCCCAAAAAACGGCUCAACCGUGGAGGGUCAUUGGAAACUGGGGGACUUGAGUACAGAAGAGGAAAGCGGAAUUCCAAGUGUAGCGGUGAAAUGCGUAGAGAUUUGGAGGAACACCAGUGGCGAAGGCGGCUUUCUGGUCUGUAACUGACGCUGAGGCGCGAAAGCGUGGGGAGCAAACAGGAUUAGAUACCCUGGUAGUCCACGCCGUAAACGAUGAGUGCUAAGUGUUAGGGGGUUUCCGCCCCUUAGUGCUGCAGCUAACGCAUUAAGCACUCCGCCUGGGGAGUACGGCCGCAAGGCUG